UACGUAGGGUGCAAGCGUUAAUCGGAAUUACUGGGCGUAAAGCGUGCGCAGGCGGUUUUGUAAGUCUGUCGUGAAAUCCCCGGGCUCAACCUGGGAAUUCGCGAUGGAGACUGCAAGGCUAGAAUCUGGCAGAGGGGGUAGAAUUCCACGUGUGAGCAGUGAAAUGCGUAGAGAUGUGGAGGAACACCGAUGGCGAAGGCCGCCCCCUGGGUCAAGAUUGACGCUCAUCGCACGAAAGCGUGGGGAGCAA
rnacentral:rRNA from 1 species